rnacentral:lncRNA from 1 species
CAGGUCGCCGGCGGCGGCCGCACUGAGAAGCCCAUGCUGAAGGCCGGCCGCAGCUACUGGAAGUACAAGGCCAAGCGCAACAGCUGGCCUAAGGUGCGUCUGCGCUUGCGGGGGCUGUUGGUACUUGUGGCGCUUGGGCAGCGUCUUGGGGAUGAGGCAAACAUGUGCGCUAGGUGCAGAGAUUUGGGGGCGGGGUUUUGGGGGCGGAGUACAGCUUUAGAGGGCCGGCGACUUGCUCUCUGUAUGGUGCAUCAUGGCGUGCCGUUUGCGGUUUGAUCUGGAAGCGCAUGCCUCCUGACCUCUUCCCCCUGCCCCUGCCCUCCACGCUCCUCCCUCCCCCCUGCACAGGUGCGUGGUGUGGCCAUGAACCCCGUGGAGCACCCCCACGGUGGUGGUAACCACCAGCACAUUGGCCACGCCUCGACCGUCCGCCGGUCGGCGCCCCCCGGCCAGAAGGUCGGUCUCAUUGCCGCCCGCCGCACUGGUCGCCUCCGCGGCACCAACGUCAUCAAGGGCGCCGCCCAGAACGAGUAAGCGCUCGGUCGUCGUGGCACGGCUGGCCUUGGUGUCGGCGGAUGAGGAGGCAUGGACCGGGCGGGGGCGGCGCCGCCGCCACUGCCGCCGCGGUGGCGGCGGCUGCGGCGCUGCAGCGACGCGGCGCGGCCGUCUGGUGCG